GCACUCUACCUCACCUGGAAGCUGAUCGAGGUGCUGUACUGCCAAGCAGCAAGGAAAGGCUAUGCACCCACAUUAGCAUGGGGUUCUGAACUAUUGUUUGCCCUCGGAUGUGGCGUCAUGAUGUUCUGUGCCGUGGUGGAGCCUCACAACAUGCGUCCAUCGUAUGCAAAAUUUCUCAAUGACAUGACAGGUGAUCGGUUGCGUCGGGUCAAUCGCCAUCCUCUGGAAGUGCUUGGCUUCCC